AGCGAACGCUGGCGGCAGGCUUAACACAUGCAAGUCGAGCGGGCACUUUCGGGUGUCAGCGGCGGACGGGUGAGUAACGCGUGGGAACGUGCCCUCUGGUUCGGAAUAACUCAGGGACACUUGAGCUAAUACCGGAUACGCCCUUUUGGGGAAAGGCUUGCUGCCGGAGGAUCGGCCCGCGUCUGAUUAGCUAGUUGGUGAGGUAACGGCUCACCAAGGCGACGAUCAGUAGCUGGUCUGAGAGGAUGAUCAGCCACACUGGGACUGAGACACGGCCCAGACUCCUACGGGAGGCAGCAGUGGGGAAUAUUGGACAAUGGGCGCAAGCCUGAUCCAGCCAUGCCGCGUGAGUGAUGAAGGCCUUAGGGUUGUAAAGCUCUUUUAUCCGGGACGAUAAUGACAGUACCGGAGGAAUAAGCCCCGGCUAACUUCGUG
rnacentral:rRNA from 1 species